rnacentral:piRNA from 1 species
UGGGAGAAGGAGAACCAAGAUGCCAUGU